CCUGGAAAAAGAAGAGAGUGACCUCUUCCCAUCUGGAGUAGAUGGAUUCAUCACCAAGAAUUUUAAAUGGAUGACUUAAUAUUGGGGUUUGCACUUAAAAUUUUUAAUUGUGUGGUUUCAUUGCCUUUCAGGAAUCCUGCACCUUGUCUUUUCUGAACUGGUAAGUUGGAGUUGUACCACAGAGAUUUAUUUCUUGCCAUUUAUCUCUUAGCAUUGGGCUCCUGUCUACAAAGAGCUGAUGAUCCCCUGAGCUGCUCAUCUGCCAAAGCACCUUGCCCAGGACCAGGCCUGCUCUCCCUCCCGCAUGGCCGGAGUGGAAAAGCACGUUUAAAUCCCGAAGCCGGCUUUCCCACGUGCUGCCUCCCCGAGCUGCUGUCACCGCCACGCCGCGCUCCCACCGGGCACCGCAGCUUCUCCCGUGCCCUGCCCGAACGCACAAGGCUCCAACUCUCUCUCCUGCUGAACUUGCCGGGAACAAAAGGCUCCGUUCCCGAUCCAGCCCGCAGUUGCCGUGAGAAACUUCCUCGCCAGCGCUGUCUGUCGCUCCGCUCUCCCUCCC